AAGUCGUAACAAGGUAACCGUAGGUGAACCUGCGGUUGGAUCAUUACUUAAAAUGAUAGUCCCUUUCUCUUUGUCUGAUGACACCUUGUGUGUUGUUUGCCAAAGUGGAGUGGACGAACAUUGGUAAGGGAUUCUCUGUUUAUAGUGUCUCACAAAAGGCAUUAUGAGGAGGGGAUUACCUGCCUCUACCCAUACCUGUGAACUGUCUCUUUUAAGGAAAAAGAAUGGAAAAGUGCUUUGAAUUCACUUCAACUUACUUUUUUUCCGUUCCUUUUUCCUUAAAUACCAUAUACAAAACAUUUUAUCUUUUGAUGCUUUACAUUUCUCAAUGGAUCAUUCGUGAUCAAACGAGCAAAUAUAAACAACUUUUGACAACGGAUCUCUUGGCUCUC
rnacentral:misc_RNA from 1 species